rnacentral:rRNA from 1 species
AUGAUGAGGAUAAUAUCAUUUAGUUACUUUGAUCUCAGUCCUUGCCUGAAGUCUUGCCUAUUAUAUCUGAAUGUUUUCCCGGAAGAUUUUAAGAUUGAUAAGGAAGAUUUAAUAAUGAGAUGGAUUGCAGAGGGAUUCACUCCUGAGGAGGAUGGGCAUACCCUAUAUGAACUAGGAGAGAGGUGUUUUAAUGAGCUCAUCAAUAGGAGCCUAAUCCAACCAGGGGAGCUCGAUGACUUGUGUGCUGAAGUGACAAAUUGUCGAGUACACGACAUAAUUCUUGAUUUUGUCAUAUCUAAGUCUAAGGAAGAGAACUUUGUUACUUUGCUUGGUGUAUCCGGUGUAAAUCAUGAUCGAGAAAACAAGGCCCGUCGAUUGUCUCUACAGAGUGGCAGUGAAAUUCCAAAUGAUCUUGAUUUAUGUAAUGCCUGGUCACUUGCCGUUUUUGGGCGUUCUAUCAAUAUCCCUGCUUGGAAGAAGUUUAAGAACUUGCGUGCUUUGAGCUUUGAAAUGUGUAAUGAACUAGAAAAUCAUCAUGUUGUGGGCAUAGACAAUUUGUUCCACCUGAAGCACCUGAGGUUUAAAGGUGCAAAACUGAAAAAAUUCCCUGAUGAAAUUGCCAAGCUACAGUCCUUAGAGACACUUGAAAUAGUUGGAGCCAGUUCAAGACUUGAAAUUCCAUCGACCAUUUGUCAGCUUAAGAAAUUGACCCAUCUUGUUGUUUGUUACUAUAUUAUACUGCCGGAUGAAAUUGGAGGCAUGCAAGCACUGCAAGUGCUGGAAGGUAUUAAUGUCUUCAAUCACUCAGUUAAUUUUUGUCGUCAACUUGGUAACCUAUCAAACCUGAGGAAGUUGGCAAUAGAACUUUGCGGUAACUAUUCUGUGCGUGAAGAGAAGAUUAUACAGAUGUUGUUUUCCAUUUGCAAGUUAGGCAACGCAAACCUUUAUUGUGUUUGUGUCUCGGGCAAUUAUAAGUUGGACCCCGACCUUGAGAGGUAUGAGGUCGAUGGCUGCAAUGUCAAUGAUGCAGAUGAGAUAUAUGAUGGCUACAAUAUAGAUGAUUCCUUAGAUGAAUCAUGGUUCUCUGCACUACGUGGCUUCCGGGAACUUGUCAUCAUGGACAAUUUUGUACCCUGGAGGAUUCCAAGAUCGAUGAAGUCACUCAUCAACAUGCAGAAAUUAUGCCUCAAUGUGUCCAUAGUUCUGCACGAGGACAUGGUGAUCCUGGGAGGCCUACCUGCACUCCGCAUUCUCUCCCUGGGUGCAGAGGGUUGCGUGACGGGUGCAAAAACUGAAGGGCUGCUUAAAAUCAGUCAAAGCCUUGGAUUUCCUUCCUUGAUUAAUUUUACAAUUGGUGAACGGAACUGUGUGAUGGGGUUGAUCUUUGAAGCUGGAUGCAUGCCAAGGCUGGAAAAGCUUGUGCUAUGUUUUCUCAUGCUUCUGACAAGCGAUGACUUUGAUUUCGGCAUCGAACACCUCCGCAACCUGAAAUUCAUCCGAUGUCAUUACUGGAAGAAGGAACUAAAGGCUGCCUUGGAGAGGUCAAUUGCGACCCAUCCCAACCAUCCAACGUUUCAAUUUAAGGGAUGA